rnacentral:rRNA from 1 species
AAAACCUUCAACAACGGAUCUCUUGGUUCUGGCAUCGAUGAAGAACGCAGCGAAAUGCGAUAAGUAAUGUGAAUUGCAGAAUUCCGUGAAUCAUCGAAUUUUUGAACGCACAUUGCGCCCUUUGGUAUUCCGAAGGGCAUGCCUGUUCGAGCGUCAUU